rnacentral:rRNA from 1 species
CCAGACUCCUACGGGAGGCAGCAGUGGGGAAUAUUGGGCAAUGGGCGCAAGCCUGACCCAGCAACGCCGCGCGAAGGAAGAAGGCUUUCGGGUUGUAAACUUCUUUUAAGAGGGAAGAGUAGAAGACGGUACCUCUUGAAUAAGCCACGGCUAACUACGUGCCAGCAGCCGCGGUAAUACGUAGGUGGCAAGCGUUGUCCGGAUUUACUGGGUGUAAAGGGCGUGUAGCCGGGCCGGCAAGUCAGGGGUGAAAGCCCGGGGCCCAACCCCGGGACUGCCGUUGGAACUGCAUGGCUGGAGUGCGGGAGGGGCAGGCGGAAUUCCUGGUGUAGCGGUGAAAUGCGUAGAUAUCAGGAGGAACACCGGCGGCGAAGGCGGCCUGCUGGACUGCGACUGACGUUGAGGCCCGAAAGCGUGGGGAGCAAACAGGAGUAGAUACCCCAGUA